AUUACGGGAGGCAGCAGUGGGGAAUAUUGGACAAUGGGCCACAAGCCUGAUCCAGCAAUUCUGUGUGCACGAUGAAGGUCUUCGGAUUGUAAAGUGCUUUCAGUUGGGAAGAAGAAAGCGACGGUACCAACAGAAGAAGCGACGGCUAAAUACGUGCCAGCAGCCGCGGUAAUAAU
rnacentral:rRNA from 1 species